rnacentral:rRNA from 1 species
UGGGGAAUUUUGGACAAUGGGCGAAAGCCUGAUCCAGCAAUGCCGCGUGUGUGAAGAAGGCCUUCGGGUUGUAAAGCACUUUUGUCCGGAAAGAAAUCCUUGGCUCUAAUACAGUCGGGGGAUGACGGUACCGGAAGAAUAAGCACCGGCUAACUACGUGCCAGCAGCCGCGGUAAUACGUAGGGUGCAAGCGUUAAUCGGAAUUACUGGGCGUAAAGCGUGCGCAGGCGGUUUGCUAAGACCGAUGUGAAAUCCCCGGGCUCACCUGGGAACUGCAUUGGUGACUGGCAGGCUAGAGUAUGGCAGAGGGGGGCUAGAAUUCCACGUGUAGCAGUGAAAUGCGUAGAGAUGUGGAGGAAUACCGAU